GUUGCAGCAUCACAAACUGCUUUAGACACACAGCUUUUUGCAACAACUGACUGGCUUCCAUAAGUCCCUGAUGAAAUGAAAGAGAACAGAAGUUGAGUCAGUCUAAGCUGGACAUUGAUUCUCACCUGUUGCUGUAAUGCAGUGGUCUUCGCUCCCAGAACAGUCUAUUAUGUUUGAGCAGCUGUUCCCAACACAAUAGUAACAUUUCUUUCCAUUGGGGACGUUGGAGACACUGGGGAAAUUGGGGAUAUUGGGGAAGUUGGGGAUAUUGGGGACAUUGACGUCAUUAGAACUGGAACCUCCAGAAAGCUCUGUACAAAAUAAAACAUAUAUGAAACAACACUA